rnacentral:rRNA from 1 species
CCUACGGGUGGCAGCAGUGGGGAAUAUUGGACAAUGGGCGAAAGCCUGAUCCAGCCAUGCCGCGUGUGUGAAGAAGGCCUUCGGGUUGUAAAGCACUUUCAGUGGGGAAGAAAGCCUUGGGGCUAAUACCCUCGAGGAAGGACAUCACCCACAGAAGAAGCACCGGCUAACUCCGUGCCAGCAGCCGCGGUAAUACGGAGGGUGCGAGCGUUAAUCGGAAUUACUGGGCGUAAAGCGCGCGUAGGCGGUCUGAUAAGCCGGUUUGUGAAAGCCCCGGGCUCAACCUGGGAACGGCAUCCGGAACUGUCAGGCUAGAGUGCAGGAGAGGAAGGUAGAAUUCCCGGUGUAGCAGUGAAAUGCGUAGAGAUCGGGAGGAAUACCAGUGGCGAAGGCGGCCUUCUGGACUGACACUGACGCUGAGGUGCGAAAGCGUGGGUAGCAAACAGGAUUAGAUACCCGAGUAGUC